rnacentral:rRNA from 1 species
CAACGCGAAGAACCUUACCUGGUCUUGACAUCCACGGAAGUUUUCAGAGAUGAGAAUGUGCCUUCGGGAACCGUGAGGCAGGUGCUGCAUGGCUGUCGUCAGCUCGUGUUGUGAAAUGUUGGGUUAAGUCCCGCAACGAGCGCAACCCUUAUCCUUUGUUGCCAGCGGUCCGGCCGGGAACUCAAAGGAGACUGCCAGUGAUAAACUGGAGGAAGGUGGGGAUGACGUCAAGUCAUCAUGGCCCUUACGACCAGGGCUACACACGUGCUACAAUGGCGCAUACAAAGAGAAGCGAUCUCGCGAGAGCAAGCGGACCUCAUAAAGUGCGUCGUAGUCCGGAUUGGAGUCUGCAACUCGACUCCAUGAAGUCGGAAUCGCUAGUAAUCGUGGAUCAGAAUGCCACGGUGAAUACGUUCCCGGGCCUUGUACACACCGCCCGUCACACCAUGGGAGUGGGUUGCAAAAGAAGUAGGUAGCUUAAC